rnacentral:rRNA from 1 species
ACCGUGUACGUACAAGCAGUGGGAGCCUCUUAAUGGGGUGACUGCGUACCUUUUGUAUAAUGGGUCAGCGACUUAUAUUCUGUAGCAAGGUUAACCGAAUAGGGGAGCCGAAGGGAAACCGAGUCUUAACUGGGCGUUAAGUUGCAGGGUAUAGACCCGAAACCCGGUGAUCUAGCCAUGGGCAGGUUGAAGGUUGGGUAACACUAACUGGAGGACCGAACCGACUAAUGUUGAAAAAUUAGCGGAUGACUUGUGGCUGGGGGUGAAAGGCCAAUCAAACCGGGAGAUAGCUGGUUCUCCCCGAAAGCUAUUUAGGUAGCGCCUCGUGAAUUCAUCUCCGGGGGUAGAGCACUGUUUCGGCAAGGGGGUCAUCCCGACUUACCAACCCGAUGCAAACUGCGAAUACCGGAGAAUGUUAUCACGGGAGACACACGGCGGGUGCUAACGUCCGUCGUGAAGAGGGAAACAACCCAGACCGCCAGCUAAGGUCCCAAAGUCAUGGUUAAGUGGGAAACGAUGUGGGAAGGCCCAGACAGCCAGGAUGUUGGCUUAGAAGCAGCCAUCAUUUAAAGAAAGCGUAAUAGCUCACUGGUCGAGUCGGCCUGCGCGGAAGAUGUAACGGGGCUAAACCAUGCAC